rnacentral:rRNA from 1 species
GACGUAGGGCGCGAGCGUUGUCCGGAUUUAUUGGGCGUAAAGAGCUCGUAGGCGGCUUGUCGCGUCGACUGUGAAAUCCCGCGGCUCAACUGCGGGUCUGCAGUCGAUACGGGCAGGCUAGAGUUCGGUAGGGGAGACUGGAAUUCCUGGAUGUAGCGGUGAAAUGCGCAGAUAUCGGGAGGAACACCGGUGGCGAAGGCGGUUCUCUGGGCCUUACCUGACGCUGAGGGCGAAAGCGUGGGGAGCGAACAGG